rnacentral:lncRNA from 1 species
CUUUUACUGAGGCAAAGAAGCCGUUGCCUCCCACAUGGUAGUGCAGAGUGGACCCAGAUCCUGCCUGGAGGACCAAGAGGACUGACCCCAGCACGAUCCCCUCAACUCCUUUGCUAUGGAAGCAAACAACAGAUUUCAGAGAAAAACACCGGCACUAACGUGUUUCAUGAUGGAACAUAGUCAUGGUUGAAAUGAGUGUGAGAAACUCAACC